UCACACACACAUAAAAAAAAAUGCUCUCAACUUUCUUCCCCCUCUCCUCUCUUUUUCGGCAGAAAUAUGGGGUAAAAACACCCCCAAAUCUUAAGAAUAAAUCAUAAAACAACAUUAACAAUAUAUCCAAGGUGUGGAGCAAGCAUGGAGGUGAUUUGGAGGCCAUCUAGCACACGAAAUCAGCCCCCAAAGUGGCUGGUCGGACAGCAGCAAAAAAGGGGGCAAAACAACUUCAAUCUACUUCUUUUCUUUUGAUUCUUGAUCAUCAAAGGCCAACAAACAACUCUUGGCAGCCAUCAAGAACAAGACCCAACAACACUCUUAAUCUUCUUGUUUUGGUCUUCAAAGGAAAUAAGCUUAAGCUUUGAGGAUUUA